UGGGGAAUAUUGCACAAUGGGGGAAACCCUGAUGCAGCGACGCCGCGUGAGUGAAGAAGUAUUUCGGUAUGUAAAGCUCUAUCAGCAGGGAAGAAAAUGACGGUACCUGACUAAGAAGCCCCGGCUAACUACGUGCCAGCAGCCGCGGUAAUACGUAGGGGGCAAGCGUUAUCCGGAUUUACUGGGUGUAAAGGGAGCGUAGACGGCGGUGCAAGUCUGAAGUGAAAUCCCGGGGCUCAACCCCGGUGCUGCUUUGGAAACUGUACUGCUAGAGUGCUGGAGAGGUAAGUGGAAUUCCUAGUGUAGCGGUGAAAUGCGUAGAUAUUAGGAGGAACACCAGUGGCGAAGGCGGCUUACUGGACAGUAACUGACGUUGAGGCUCGAAAGCGUGGGGAGCAAACAGGAUUAGAUACCCUGGUAGU
rnacentral:rRNA from 1 species